GCUAGUAUUAGGUUGGUGCAAAAGUUAUUGCGGUUUUUGUCAUUGACAGUAAUGGCAAAAACCGCAAUAACUUUUGCACCAACCUAA
ensembl:miRNA